rnacentral:rRNA from 1 species
UACGUAGGGGGCAAGCGUUUGUCCGGAUUUAUUGGGCGUAAAGAGCGUGUAGGCGGCUGGGUAGGUCCGUUGUGAAAACUCGAGCUCAACCUCGAGACGCCGAUGGAAACCCUCCAGCUAGAGUCCCGGAAGAGGAGAGUGGAAUUCCUGGUGUAGCGGUGAAAUGCGCAGAUAUCAGGAAGAACACCCGUGGCUAAGGCGGCUCUCUAGUACGGUACUGACGCUGAGACGCGAAAGCGUGGGGAGCGAACAGG